UUUGAUCAUGGCUCAGGACGAACGCUGGCGGCGUGCCUAAUACAUGCAAGUCGAACGAACUCUGGUAUUGAUUGGUGCUUGCAUCAUGAUUUACAUUUGAGUGAGUGGCGAACUGGUGAGUAACACGUGGGAAACCUGCCCAGAAGCGGGGGAUAACACCUGGAAACAGAUGCUAAUACCGCAUAACAACUUGGACCGCAUGGUCCGAGCUUGAAAGAUGGCUUCGGCUAUCACUUUUGGAUGGUCCCGCGGCGUAUUAGCUAGAUGGUGGGGUAACGGCUCACCAUGGCAAUGAUACGUAGCCGACCUGAGAGGGUAAUCGGCCACAUUGGGACUGAGACACGGCCCAAACUCCUACGGGAGGCAGCAGUAGGGAAUCUUCCACAAUGGACGAAAGUCUGAUGGAGCAACGCCGCGUGAGUGAAGAAGGGUUUCGGCUCGUAAAACUCUGUUGUUAAAGAAGAACAUAUCUGAGAGUAACUGUUCAGGUAUUGACGGUAUUUAACCAGAAAGCCACGGCUAACUACGUGCCAGCAGCCGCGGUAAUACGUAGGUGGCAAGCGUUGUCCGGAUUUAUUGGGCGUAAAGCGAGCGCAGGCGGUUUUUUAAGUCUGAUGUGAAAGCCUUCGGCUCAACCGAAGAAGUGCAUCGGAAACUGGGAAACUUGAGUGCAGAAGAGGACAGUGGAACUCCAUGUGUAGCGGUGAAAUGCGUAGAUAUAUGGAAGAACACCAGUGGCGAAGGCGGCUGCCUGGUCUGUAACUGACGCUGAGGCUCGAAAGUAUGGGUAGCAAACAGGAUUAGAUACCCUGGUAGUCCAUACCGUAAACGAUGAAUGCUAAGUGUUGGAGGGUUUCCGCCCUUCAGUGCUGCAGCUAACGCAUUAAGCAUUCCGCCUGGGGAGUACGGCCGCAAGGCUGAAACUCAAAGGAAUUGACGGGGGCCCGCACAAGCGGUGGAGCAUGUGGUUUAAUUCGAAGCUACGCGAAGAACCUUACCAGGUCUUGACAUACUAUGCAAAUCUAAGAGAUUAGACGUUCCCUUCGGGGACAUGGAUACAGGUGGUGCAUGGUUGUCGUCAGCUCGUGUCGUGAGAUGUUGGGUUAAGUCCCGCAACGAGCGCAACCCUUAUUAUCAGUUGCCAGCAUUAAGUUGGGCACUCUGGUGAGACUGCCGGUGACAAACCGGAGGAAGGUGGGGAUGACGUCAAAUCAUCAUGCCCCUUAUGACCUGGGCUACACACGUGCUACAAUGGAUGGUACAACGAGUUGCGAACUCGCGAGAGUAAGCUAAUCUCUUAAAGCCAUUCUCAGUUCGGAUUGUAGGCUGCAACUCGCCUACAUGAAGUCGGAAUCGCUAGUAAUCGCGGAUCAGCAUGCCGCGGUGAAUACGUUCCCGGGCCUUGUACACACCGCCCGUCACACCAUGAGAGUUUGUAACACCCAAAGUCGGUGGGGUAACCUUUUAGG
rnacentral:rRNA from 1 species